rnacentral:sRNA from 1 species
CUGAGCCAAGAUAACUUCUGACAUAGUCAAACCGACUGCCUCUCAGAAGAACCUGAUGUUUCCUGACUCUUUUCUCCUUCCUCAGCCCUGCCCUGCUUGGAUAGAGGCCUCCGGACAGAAGUAAAGAAUGGCUGUUGAACAUCCACAAGGCACCUGCAAGAUCCCCACAGGCGCUGCCUGAGACCCAGCUCUGUGUCUCCUCAUCGUACAGCUUGCGGAGCUCCACCUGCAAGGCCAUCAGCAUGCCCAGGCAGGGGUUAAGCUGGAGGGCCAUGGAGGAGGACAGGCCAGCAGGAUGCCACCUCUGCUCCAGGGCAUGCACCAUGUGUGAGAGAUUCUAAUUAUAUACACGUUCAUAAACAUAUACUCACAUGCA